GAUGAAGAACGUAGCGAAAUGCGAUAAGUAGUGUGAAUUGCAGAAUUCAGUGAAUCAUCGAAUCUUUGAACGCACAUUGCGCCCCUUGGUAUUCCAUGGGGCAUGCCUGUUCGAGCGUCAUUUGUACCUUCAAGCUCUGCUUGGUGUUGGGUGUUUGUCUCGCCUCUGCGUGUAGACUCGCCUCAAAACAAUUGGCAGCCGGCGUAUUGAUUUCGGAGCGCAGUACAUCUCGCGCUUUGCACUCAUAACGACGACGUCCAAAAGUACAUUUUUACACUCUUGACCUCGGAUCAGGAAGGGAUACCCGCUGAACUUAAGCAUAUCAAUAAGCGGAGGA
rnacentral:misc_RNA from 1 species